rnacentral:misc_RNA from 1 species
UACGGAGGGGGCUAGCGUUGUUCGGAAUUACUGGGCGUAAAGGGCACGUAGGCGGACUGUUAAGUCGGAGGUGAAAUCCUGAGGCUCAACCUCAGAAUUGCCUUCGAUACUGGCGGUCUUGAGUACGGGAGAGGUGAGUGGAAUUCCCAGUGUAGAGGUGAGAUUCGUAGAUAUUGGGAAGAACACCAGUGGCGAAGGCGGCUCACUGGCUCGGCACUGACGCUGAGGUGCGAAAGUGUGGGGAGCAAACAGG